rnacentral:rRNA from 1 species
CAUGCAGUCGAGGGGUAACAGGAGUAGCUUGCUAUUUGCUGACGACCGGCGCACGGGUGCGUAACGCGUAUAGAAUCUACCUUAUACUGGGGGAUAGCCUUUGGAAACGAAGAUUAAUACCCCAUAGUAUUAUUUUUUGGCAUCAUUAAAUAAUUAAAGUUUCGGCGGUAUAAGAUGACUAUGCGUUCUAUUAGUUAGUUGGUAAGGUAACGGCUUACCAAGACUUCGAUAGAUAGGGGUCCUGAGAGGGAGAUCCCCCACACUGGUACUGAGACACGGACCAGACUCCUACGGGAGGCAGCAGUGAGGAAUAUUGGACAAUGGAGGCAACUCUGAUCCAGCCAUGCCGCGUGUAGGAAGACUGCCCUAUGGGUUGUAAACUACUUUUAUAUGGGAAGAAUAAGAUCUACGUGUAGAUUGAUGACGGUACCAUAAGAAUAAGCACCGGCUAACUCCGUGCCAGCAGCCGCGGUAAUACGGAGGGUGCAAGCGUUAUCCGGAAUCAUUGGGUUUAAAGGGUCCGUAGGCGGGCAUAUAAGUCAGUGGUGAAAGUCUGUGGCUUAACCAUAGAAUUGCCAUUGAUACUGUAUGUCUUGAAUUAUUGUGAAGUGGUUAGAAUAUGUAGUGUAGCGGUGAAAUGCUUAGAGAUUACAUAGAAUACCGAUUGCGAAGGCAGAUCACUAACAAUAUAUUGACGCUGAUGGACGAAAGCGUAGGUAGCGAACAGGAUUAGAUACCCUGG